rnacentral:rRNA from 1 species
UGGCGGCGUGCCUAACACAUGCAAGUCGAACGGGGUUAAGGGAAAGUUUCGGAUGGAACUUAACUUAGUGGCGGACGGGUGAGUAACGCGUGGAUAACCUGCCUCACACUGGGGGAUAGCAGCUGGAAACGGCUGGUAAUACCGCAUAAGACCACAGCACCGCAUGGUGCAGGGGUAAAAAGAUUUAUCGGUGUGAGAUGGAUCCGCGUCUGAUUAGCCAGUUGGCGGGGUAACGGCCCACCAAAGCGACGAUCAGUAGCCGGCCUGAGAGGGUGAACGGCCACAUUGGGACUGAGACACGGCCCAAACUCCUACGGGAGGCAGCAGUGGGGAAUAUUGCACAAUGGGCGCAAGCCUGAUGCAGCAACGCCCGCGUGAGUGAAGAAGUAUUUCGGUAUGUAAAGCUCUAUCGGCAGGGAAGAAAGGCCCGAAAGGGAGAUGACGGUACCUGACUAAGAAGCCCCGGCUAACUACGUGCCAGCAGCGGC